AUUGAACGCUGGCGGCAUGCCUUACACAUGCAAGUCGAACGGUAACAGGUCUUCGGAUGCUGACGAGUGGCGGACGGGUGAGUAAUACAUCGGAACGUGCCUAGUAGUGGGGGAUAACUACUCGAAAGAGUGGCUAAUACCGCAUGAGAUCUACGGAUGAAAGCAGGGGAUCGCAAGACCUUGUGCUACUAGAGCGGCCGAUGGCAGAUUAGGUAGUUGGUGGGAUAAAAGCUUACCAAGCCGACGAUCUGUAGCUGGUCUGAGAGGACGAUCAGCCACACUGGGACUGAGACACGGCCCAGACUCCUACGGGAGGCAGCAGUGGGGAAUUUUGGACAAUGGGCGCAAGCCUGAUCCAGCAAUGCCGCGUGCAGGAUGAAGGCCUUCGGGUUAUAAACUGCCUUUGUACGGAACGAAAAGCCCUGGGUUAAUACCCUGGGGUCAUGACGGUACCGUAAGAAUAAGCACCGGCUAACUACGUGCCAGCAGCCGCCGUAAAAC
rnacentral:rRNA from 1 species